GCUGGAGCUGCUGCUGUUCCCUAUCCCUAUGGCAGGACCAUGUGCCCCACAUUACCUUGAGGGGACUGGGAGGAUUCAUACACUGAAGGUAACCAGACGGAGGAUGCAGAGAACUUCAGCUGCAAUCAAGAGCCUGCCAAUGGAGUUUCAGAUAAUAGAAAUCUCAAAUACUAAUCUCAGCAUCCCAGAUGGCCGCCUCCAGGAGCAGCAUAAACUGUUUUCCCCAACACAUUUCCUUUUGCAGCCUUGCCAGCGAGCCAAAGCAAAGACAGUCAAGAUUUUCCCCUCAUGGUUCCUAUUAAUUUAAUAACUUUAGGGGUUAAUCCUUCUGCUUUUGAAAGGGUUUUUUCUUGCCACUGAGUGUUGCCCAUCCGAUGGCUCUCCCAGGGGCUGGUGUAAAUGCUGCCCAGCAAUGGGUGUUUUCUGGUGCUGCUCAACAGAAUAUACAUAUAUGUGUAUAUAUAUAUAUAUAUAUAUAUAAAAUCUACUUUAAUAUAUAUAUUUAUAUAUAUAUGCGCACACAAGAGAAUUUAAUCAUCCCUUCUUACUUCCAGUGUAAUAAUACACUGAAUCUUUGGCCUCUCUUUGUUAAGCCAAAUGUCCUAUUUAAUACACG